rnacentral:lncRNA from 1 species
UUGGUGAUUCACAGUUAGUAAUCAAGUAGGUUAACGGGGAAUACUGAUGUGAGAAUCCGAAUUUGCAAAAUUAUUUGAGGAAGACAAUAGAAUUAUUAUGCAAUUUCGGAGAAGCCGAAUUUGAACAUUUGAGCAGACAGGAAAAUGAAAAGGCAAAUGAAUUGGCCCAAUCGGCUUUAGGAUACAGAGAGCCGAAGUCAGAAUUAAUAGUAAUACAGAGGAGAUUACUACCUUCGGUUCAUAUACGAGAACCGAUUAUAGCUCCUAUAGAAGUGAAAGAAGAUUGGAGAAAAUCAUUGAUCAAAUAUUUGGAGGAUCCUAAUAUAAGGGUUGAUUAUA